UACGAAGGGGACUAGCGUUGUUCGGAAUUACUGGGCGUAAAGCGCACGUAGGCGGAUUUGUUAGUCAGGGGUGAAAUCCCGGGGCUCAACCUCGGAACUGCCUUUGAUACUGCAAAUCUCGAGUCCGAUAGAGGUGGGUGGAAUUCCUAGUGUAGAGGUGAAAUUCGUAGAUAUUCGGAAGAACACCAGUGGCGAAGGCGACACACUGGCCCGUUACUGACGCUGAGGCGCGAAAGCGUGGGGAGCAAACAGG
rnacentral:rRNA from 1 species